CGGCACGGGUGCGUAACGCGUAUGCAACCUACCAUCAACAGGGGGAUAACACUGAGAAAUUGGUACUAAUACCCCAUAAUAUCUCAUGCGGCAUCGCAUGGGGUUGAAAACUCCGGUGGUUGAUGAUGGGCAUGCGUUGUAUUAGCUGGUUGGUGAGGUAACGGCUCACCAAGGCGACGAUACAUAGGGGGGACUGAGAGGUUAACCCCCCACAUUGGUACUGAGACACGGACCAAACUCCUACGGAAGGCAGCAG
rnacentral:rRNA from 1 species